rnacentral:rRNA from 1 species
UGGAUUAGGCAUGCAAGUCGUACGCUUGUAGCAAUACAGGAGUGGCGAAAGGGUGAGGAACACGUGAGUAACCUACCCUCAAGUUGGGAAUAACGCCGGGAAACUGGCGCUAAUACCGAAUGUGGCUGACGAACCGCAUGGUUUGUCAUCUAAAGAUUUAUCGCUUGAGGAGGGGCUCGCGUCCCAUUAGCUAGUUGGUGAGGUAACGGCUCACCAAGGCAACGAUGGGUAGCUGGUCUGAGAGGAUGGCCAGCCACACUGGGACUGAGACACUGCCCAGACUCCUACGGGAGGCUGCAGUCGAGAAUCUUGGGCAAUGCGCGAAAGCAUGACCCAGCAAUGCCGCGUGCAGGAUGAAGGCCUUCGGGUUGUAAACUGCUGUCACCCGGGACGAAGAAUUGACGGUACCGGGAGAGGAAGCCACGGCUAACUACGUGCCAGCAGCCGCGGUA